rnacentral:rRNA from 1 species
GAUGAACGCUAGCUACAGGCUUAACACAUGCCAGUCGAGGGACCGGCGCACGGGUGAGUAACACGUAUCCAACCUGCCCUUUACUCGGUGAUAGCCUUUCGAAAGAAAGAUUCAUACCCGAUAUAAAGGAUGGGGAUGCGUUCCAUUAGGUUGUUGUUGAGGUACCGGCACACGAAGCCUUCUAUGGAUAGGGGUUCUGAUAGGAAGGUCCCCCACAGUGGAACUGAGACACGGGCCAAACGCCUACGGGAGGCAGCAGGGAGGAAUAUUGGUAAAUGGGCGCUAGCCUGAACCAGCCAAGUAGCGUGAAGGAUGAAGGCUUAUGGGUCGUAAACUUCUUUUAUAUAAGAAUAUGUAUUAUAUGAAUAAGGAUCGGCUAACUCCGUGCCAGCAGCCGCGGUAAUAC